AUAAGUUACACACUGCAGCUUUAAUGUUGUUUAUUAUUUAUUUACCGUACAUCACAACAUUGUAACAACAUUCACCAACAUUACUGUAUAAUGUAUAUCUUUAUAAAAUCACUCAGCCCUCAUUUUAUGUGCUUAAUUGGCCGCUCUAAUUACUUUUGGUGAUUAAUUUGGGCUCACCCUCUAACAUUUGGAGACAGACUCCAGACCCUGCAAAGAUUAGGAAGCUAAAGAAAAUGGACAGAUGGACGCUUCAGCACAAAGAGGUGCCCCUGUUUAAGCCGCUUUGUUCUGUCACAGGUCAGCUGAACUCGUCCUACGACGAUGGCACUGCUUGUGCCAACCCGACAGCUUCCAUCGUGCCGCUUCAGAGAGGGACUCAAUUUCAGCCACUUGAGGAUUCGUGGCAGCAACAAAACAGGCGCAGA